CUCUCUCUCUCUCUCUCUCUCUCUCUCUCUCUCUCUCUCUCUCUCUCUCUCUCCAAUGAACAUGCUCCACUGCACUACGAACGUUUGAUGUCGUCCAAGAUGACGUAUUCGCAAGAAACCCAGCAUCCCAAAUACCAGUCAUGACUGGAAACUGGAGGAAGAGACUGACACUACUUGAAGACAAGAAUCAAUUAGAAAUGGAAACCCUAUUCGUCCCACGAGAAAUGAUGCGAUCACUCACGAAGACGUCUUGUGAAACGGGAAAUACCCCAGUGAGUCCACUCAGUCGGAUCGAUCCUGCGAUACUUCACUCGUGAGGCGGAACAUUCACCACCCAGCCACAUCCCACACGCUUUGUUUGAGAUUUCGAUAUCCAUGUAGAAGAUACUCUUGAAGCGGUCCUACGUCUCUCUUAUCGAACAGCCAGACAGGAAGCACACAGCGAUAGUAUCGACCCGCUAGAUCGAUCUGUCCACAGUUGUAAGUUAUGAGCGAUUAAAGUUUCCAUCAUUUCACUCUUCAUAGGGAAAACAGAUUAAUCUUCUAAUGAUAUAAUGUUCUCAUUCCAAUGGGGAUGUGGUCGUCUGAUGAUUUAGUAUGCUGAUUCAACUGAUAACAUCUUCUAAUGAUUUAAUAUGAUUAAAAUGAUGAUAUUAUCAUCUAAUACUAGAAUAUGUUGAUUAAAAUGAUAUAAUCUUCUAAUGAUGUAAUAUUCCGAUUCAAAUGAUGAUAUGAUCUUCUAAUUAUACAGUAAUUCGAAUUUUUAAAUGAUGAUUUUGGUCUUCAAAUCAUAUGGCAUAUUUGCAUUCAA